CCCAACUCCUCCUCUCCCCCUGCCUCCUCCCAGCUUUAUAAAAGGAGUAAACCACUUUUGGGAGAGGAGAUUGAUUAGCUGAUUUGCAGAAAAGAGAUUUCUCAGAUGUAUGGAGCUGCCUGCAAGUUGUACAGAGACCUAGAGAGGAGCUUUUAUGAGUCAUUGCCGGUGUUGAGGUGGGGUUUUCAGUGACGCAGCUGCUUCUGAGUCAUCCUUGCUCCUAAAAGUACCCACUUACCCACACUCCUGUUAGUCAUCUCAAUUGAAACCUCAUCAGUUCGCAAAGUUGGAGUUUGUAUAAUAGUCAUUACUUCAGUCUGCCCUGAGUUAUCUCUCUAGAAAGGAUCCUGAAUGUCCUGCGUCAUUCUUGCUGGCGAGACGGUAGCGCUGGACAACUGGUGCCGAAACCCGGGAAAUCGAGACCUCAUCAUCGUCAGCACCAUCGGAGAGCCCUUGGCUACAAGGAGGAUUCAGAACUGCAGGCAGAUAAGUAUGGCUACAACCCCUCAUCCAUGAAGCCCCUCUUUACAGAAAAUGGAGCCCAUCACAGAAAACCACAACUAGACACAAUGCAGAGAUCAACGUAUCCUGGGGAGCCCAGCCGCAACUGAUACACCUUUA
rnacentral:lncRNA from 1 species